GAUGAACGCUGGCGGCGUGCCUAAUACAUGCAAGUCGAGCGAACAGACGAGGAGCUUGCUCCUCUGACGUUAGCGGCGGACGGGUGAGUAACACGUGGAUAACCUACCUAUAAGACUGGGAUAACUUCGGGAAACCGGAGCUAAUACCGGAUAAUAUAUUGAACCGCAUGGUUCAAUAGUGAAAGACGGUUUUGCUGUCACUUAUAGAUGGAUCCGCGCCGCAUUAGCUAGUUGGUAAGGUAACGGCUUACCAAGGCAACGAUGCGUAGCCGACCUGAGAGGGGGAUCGGCCACACUGGAACUGAGACACGGUCCAGCCCCCUACGGGAGGCAGCAGUAGGGAAUCUUCCGCAAUGGGCGAAAGCCUGACGGGGCAACGCCGCGGGAGUGAUGAAGGUCUUCGGAUCGUAAAACUCUUUUAUUAGGGAAAAAAAAAUGUGUAAGUAACUAUGCCCGUCUUGACGGUACCAAAGCAGAAAGCCAGGGCUAACUACGU
rnacentral:rRNA from 1 species